rnacentral:rRNA from 1 species
CCCUCGGGAGGGGGAUAACCCCGGGAAACUGGGGAUAAAUCUCCAUAGGAGAUAGGUGGUGGAACUCCCCUAUCUCCGAAAGGGAUGAUGGUAAUCCUCCAUCAUCCGCCCGAGGAUGGGCCGGCGGCCUAUCAUGGUAGUUGGCGGGGUAACGGCCCGCCAAGCCUAAGACGGGUAGGGGCCGUGAGAGCGGGAGCCCCCAGAUGGGCACUGAGACAAGGGCCCAGGCCCUACGGGGCGCACCAGGGGCGAAACCUCCGCAAUGGGUAUAUGCCUGACGGGGGGAC